rnacentral:rRNA from 1 species
UGAACGCUAGCUACAGGCUUAACACAUGCAAGUCGAGGGGAAACGACAUCGAAAGCUCGCUUUUGAUGGGCGUCGACCGGCGCACGGGUGAGUAACGCGUAUCCAACCUGCCCACCACUUGGGGAUAACCUUGCGAAAGUAAGACUAAUACCCAAUGAUAUCUCUAGAAGACAUCUGAAAGAGAUUAAAGAUUUAUCGGUGAUGGAUGGGGAUGCGUCUGAUUAGCUUGUUGGCGGGGUAACGGCCCACCAAGGCGACGAUCAGUAGGGGUUCUGAGAGGAAGGUCCCCCACAUUGGAACUGAGACACGGUCCAAACUCCUACGGGAGGCAGCAGUGAGGAAUAUUGGUCAAUGGGCGAGAGCCUGAACCAGCCAAGUAGCGUGCAGGAUGACGGCCCUAUGGGUUGUAAACUGCUUUUAUAAGGGAAUAAAGUGAGUCUCGUGAGACUUUUUGCAUGUACCUUAUGAAUAAGGACCGGCUAAUUCCGUGCCAGCAGCCGCGGUAAUACGGAAGGUCCGGGCGUUAUCCGGAUUUAUUGGGUUUAAAGGGAGCGUAGGCCGGAGAUUAAGCGUGUUGUGAAAUGUAGAUGCUCAACAUCUGAACUGCAGCGCGAACUGGUUUCCUUGAGUACGCACAAAGUGGGCGGAAUUCGUGGUGUAGCGGUGAAAUGCUUAGAUAUCACGAAGAACUCCGAUUGCGAAGGCAGCUCACUGGAGCGCAACUGACGCUGAAGCUCGAAAGUGCGGGUAUCGAACAGGAUUAGAUACCCUGGUAGUCCGCACGGUAAACGAUGGAUGCCCGCUGUUGGUCUGAAUAGGUCAGCGGCCAAGCGAAAGCAUUAAGCAUCCCACCUGGGGAGUACGCCGGCAACGGUGAAA